rnacentral:rRNA from 1 species
UGAGGAAUCUUGCGCAAUGGGGGAAACCCUGACGCAGCAACGCCGCGUGAGUGAGGAAGGUCUUCGGGUCGUAAAGCUCUGUCAGGCGGGAAGAAAUGCAUGGAGGUGAACAGCCGCCAUGCUUGACGGUACCGCCAGAGGAAGCACCGGCUAACUCCGUGCCAGCAGCCGCGGUAAUACGGGGGGUGCAAGCGUUGUUCGGAAUCAUUGGGCGUAAAGAGCGUGUAGGCGGCUUGGUAAGUCAGAUGUGAAAGCCCUGGGCUCAACCCGGGAAGUGCAUUUGAAACUGUCAGGCUCGAGUAGGGGAGAGGGAAGUGGAAUUCCUGGUGGAGAGGUGAAAUUCGUAGAUAUCAGGAGGAACACCGGUGGCGAAGGCGACUUCCUGGCCCUAUACUGACGCUGAGACGCGAGAGCGUGGGUAGCAAACA